rnacentral:tRNA from 1 species
UGCGGAGUAGAGCAGUUCGGUAGCUCGUCGGGCUCAUAAUCCGAAGGUCAUAGGUUCAAAUCCUAUCUCCGCUA